rnacentral:rRNA from 1 species
CCUACGGGCGACAGCAGUGGGGAAUAUUGGGCAAUGGGCGCAAGCCUGACCCAGCAACGCCGCGUGAAGGAAGAAGGCUUUCGGGUUGUAAACUUCUUUUGUCAGGGACGAAGCAAGUGACGGUACCUGCCGAAUAAGCCACGGCUAACUACGUGCCAGCAGCCGCGGUAAUACGUAGGUGGCAUGCGUUAUCCGGAUUUACUGGGUGUAAAGGUCGUGUAGGCGGGACUGCAAGUCAGAUGUGAAAACCACGGGCUCAACCUGUGGACUGCAUUUGAAACUGUAGUGCUUGAGUACUGGAGAGGGAGAGAGAAUUCCUAGUGUAGCGGUGAAAUGCGUAGAUAUUAGGAGGAACACCAGUGGCGAAGGCGGUCUGCUGGACAGCAACUGACGCUGAGGCGCGAAAGCGUGGGGAGCAAACAGGAUUAGAUACCCGUGUAGUC